rnacentral:rRNA from 1 species
AUUGAACGCUGGCGGCAUGCUUUACACAUGCAAGUCGAACGGCAGCGCGGGCUUCGGCCUGGCGGCGAGUGGCGAACGGGUGAGUAAUGCAUCGGAACGUGCCCAGUAGUGGGGGAUAGCCCGGCGAAAGCCGGAUUAAUACCGCAUACGACCUGAGGGUGAGAGCGGGGGACCGAAAGGCCUCGCGCUAUUGGAGCGGCCGAUGUCGGAUUAGCUAGUUGGUGGGGUAAAGGCUUACCAAGGCGACGAUCCGUAGCUGGUCUGAGAGGACGACCAGCCACACUGGGACUGAGACACGGCCCAGACUCCUACGGGAGGCAGCAGUGGGGAAUGUUGGACAAUGGGGGCAACCCUGAUCCAGCCAUGCCGCGUGCGGGAAGAAGGCCUUCGGGUUGUAAACCGCUUUUGUUCGGGAAGAAAUCCUCUGGGCUAAUACCCCGGGGGGAUGACGGUACCGGAAGAAUAAGCACCGGCUAACUACGUG